ACAAGGCAUAUUGUGUUUGUGUCUAAUUUUGAGACUUUUUAUAGAGAAUCUGAUUUGGAUACAGUCUGAUUUCAGUUUUGACAUAAUUCUGAUUCAAAAUCUUGACAAAAUAUGUUAGUAAGAACAGAGUCAACAGUGUGGAAUUCAACUUUCUUUCCAGCAUCAUGACACUUCUGAUUCAGUUUCCUUUUCAUAAUACUUACCACAUUUUCUCUGCACCCUGGCACAAUUUUGGACAAAACCUGCUGAUUGGCUGGUGAAAUUGUUGAAUACUUUCCUAUACCUUUCUGACUUUGUUGACUUUGUUUCGAGAGUAGAAUACAAUGUACUGACUUUGGCCUGCAUGAAAAAAGCAUACCUAUCGUUAUGGCGGUAAAGGUUGUUUCAGUACAUGGUGGGUGUUAAUAAUUUACCUCUAAGGCUACAAUGCAAUGGUAGCUUGUGAUCAUGAGGUCAUGAUUAGGUCCCUCUAAGCUUAAAUCUAUGGUGUUGUGUACAAUUCGCUAGUAACAAUUCUGUUUCCACUGCCACUUGAUGCAUCUCCAAGUUUGCUGUCUUUCUCCUGAAGUGCUUGUUGGCCUUGGCCUUGGAGCAUGAUCAAGAACUCCUUGCUGGCAUUGUAACAUCUGUAACAUUGACACCAUAUCUUCAAUUGAGGUGUUCACUAGCACUGGAGACUGACUAGGUUGUAGUGUACCUGGUCUGUCGGUGAUCGUGUUGGAGUUGUGGUGUAAGGCUGAUCUCUUUCACCGCCUUCACCUUCACUGUCCAUGUUGAACUCAUCAACUCAUCAACUGUCUAGGUACAUGCCUGGUUGGUAUUCAAAGUUUGAGUUUAGCAACCGUAGGGGACGUCUUGGAUCAGAACCAUCUUGGAUCAGAACCAGUGUUAGAUCUAGUGGUAGACCUUGGUGUGGUUCGUUUGGUCCUACUGUAGAAGUGCUGUAUACUAUACCAUGAUCUAUGUAUUAUUUAGAACACACCUAGCCAAGAUUAAGUGUUUUAAUCUGGAUGGCCUCGAGGUUAACGUGGUGCUCGAGGCGCAGCCGAGUGCCAUCCGAAGCAUUAAAACUGACUUGGCUAGGUGUGUUCUAAAGCUGUCACGUGAGCUCUAGCCUCGUGGCAGCUAGAUCUAGCUACAGUUGCUGGUGGCUAGCUAUACGUAGGUUUGUAGAUCCAGUAACGGAGAAGUAUCUGGACUGACUGGGCAUGUUCUCGACUUAUUUACCAACAUCGGUCCCGAUCCCACUACUGGAUAUGCCUCCAGCUUACUGGAUGGGAAACUUUGUGCGCAAACUAUUAUCUGUUUGCUCUUUUGGAAAGCUAUGAUAUUCGAAGCACCUUUGAUGAAACGAUUGAUGAAACGAUUAUAUGGAUCUGGCUUAGGUACAUCUUCGAAGCAAGUUCUUCAGACGAAAAAGCAAUGCUAUGGUCAAGUCAGCAAUUCGGUACACUUACACUUAUAUGAAACAAGUCGAAACAAUAACAUUCAACUUUCCAGCUUUGCUUGUGUACAUAUUCAAUCUGCUUGUUUAUAAUUAUGAUGACAUUCAGAUUCAAUCUGCUUGUAUUAUGAUUGUUUGAUAAAAAGUGUGCCCUCGCGAAAAUACAAAUACGCCCACCCUUUUCUGCAAGAAGUCUAGGCUUAUUAGGGGACUGGGACUGGGCGUUUAAUCGAGUUUUCAUAAUAUACGCCCACCCGCGGCCUCAAAUCGAGGUUUACACUUUGCCAAUUCUUUAUUAGUUUUUAAUACAUAGUAUAAACAUUUUAUUGACAACAACAAUGUUAUAAACUAGCAUGAUUAAAGCAUGACUGUAGCUUUAUGUGUGCAAGCUUCCCUUGUUCCCUUUGUUAAUUUGUCCUCCACUGCCUCACAGUUCUAUCACUUUUACCAACAAUUCUUGCUGAUAAUUUGGCAGCUUCUGUUAACUGCAUGCUUUACUACAGCUACCAGCUAGCUAUUUAUCAGUUUUUGUGUUUUUGUCCACUAAUAGUUUAAUCGACCUGUUGUUUUGAUGUAUUUGAUGUAUGAUGUAUCAACUGCAAAAGAGUGUUUAAAGUCGAUUGUUAGCGCUAUAGCCUAGGCUAGCUAGUUGAGCAGCAGCCAGGUUCUCAGACUUUCCCUGGCUGAGAUGGGCCUAGUCUUACACAAUAAUUUACACGGAUGUCCAGAUUAGUGGUUACAUUGGCAUUGCAUUGCAUAUUAUCUGUGCACAUCUAGGGUGGAACACCCUCUCUAUUGCUACUUUCUUCGCCAAGAGGAGUCGACUUGGUAAUAAAAGAUAAUUAUACCAUUGAAUUAAUAAAUACGAAUCAAUGUUUACUAAAUUAGAUGAAUCAACAAGCACAACAAGCACAUCUGACCCGUCACUGACACAGAUCCAGACGUACAGGGUUCACUAGGUAAAAUAAGAAAAUUCAAUCAUAAAAACUUAAAAUACUCUGACACAGGUGACACAGGUGACAAGGAUACUGAUUCUAUGCAAGGUGACAGUGACAGUGACAGUGGUGACAGAUGCUCUAGAAGACAGUCUAGCCUCAGAGUGUGAUAUUGGCAACCUCCUUGAUUCGCAUGUUGAUUUGCAGUAGUAUCGAAUUCUUACUGCUGAGCCAAACAGAGACAUACCCUCGCAGUGUUGGUGGCUUGCGACAACUCUUUCUGUGUGUGUGUGUGUGUGUGUAAAGUUUUGGAGUGAUACAUCCCAAACAGUCUGUAAUCGCUCAACUUUGGUGAUCCAGGAGGGUAGUAACUGUUAUCGCCCAGAGUGAGGUGGAAGUGAGCAUACAAAUUGGCACACAUGUCAAGUGAGCGACAGUACACAAUCAAUCGUUUGAAUUACGAGACAAGUCCUUGACAACAUCAGUGAAAUCGUCGCUGGAACGCAGAGUACAUGAUAUUGGCCUUGUUGGGUGACUCAGACACGAAAGAACAAUCGAUCAUGUUCAGAGACUUGAUGACGUGUGAGCGAAUCGAAUCCGUGACAGUGGCAGUGAGUGGCAGUGAGAGCAAGCAUGGGGACACCGAAAGGCACGUAACUCAUGAAUGCGGGCAUAGGCUGGUCUGAAGUCAUCACUCCUUAAGAAAAGGUAUAUGUUACACUCAAUUAUAGCACACAAUUAUAGCACCCAACAACCAACAAUAUCAUUUUCGUGUACAGACUAUACAAAUUACACUCAUUGAUCAUGUCUAUCUAUGGUACACUUACACUUACCAUUUAUAUACACAAUGUGCUUCGUCCACAGCUACAGCAACAACUGUAUUUGACAACGGAGGCUCAAGCAAAAGCUGCUUCCACCUCUCGCCACAAACUAUAGCCUCUGGACAACUAUAGAGGAAGCGAUACAUGCCAGCCUUAACUUCUACUUCUCUUUCAUUGGCAAGAUACUUUCAUUGGCAAGAUACUUCUUGUCUACCCCAGCAGCAGAAACACCACGACUAUGGACCAUCAGGGACACGAGGGGAGACACAACUAUCACAACACUCAAUUCAGCUUCAGGAGCACCAAUCCUACCACAUUUAAGGUAGAAGUUGCCAUAGCUAGUCGGGAACCAAACGAAGCAGUCUUUGCCCUGAUAGAGCGCCUUCAAUACAUCUACUUGCUUACUCUUCAGCAACAGCUCAUCAAGACCAACGCAAGCUUUGGCGUGCUGUAAAGCACUAGCGAACAGCUCCAUUGUCUUGACAAUAGAAUUACACUGCUAGAUUACUGUACUACAUAUGUGGUUUGAAUGUCAUACCACGUCAUGGUUUUACUGAGUGCUAUCCGGAGUCCCCAGUUUCUGGGGAUUAUGUGGCGCAUGCGCAAACAGUCGAUACCAGGCCCUCUCUUCGAGGAAGAGCGGCCUGGGAUCGAGGCUAGUCUGAGUGUAGGUUGGGCAUGACAUGCAAGCUCAGGUUGCUAAGUACGUGACACACAUACACACCCUCAAUCUCAUCAACUCCAUGGCACGGUAUGCUGCAUAUUAUUGGAUACAUAUAUGCAUCACUAUCAGGUACUAAGAACGUCGUCACAGAGGGUCGGGUCAGAGAUAACGUGGUUCCCUGAACUCUCUGAUAAACGGCGCAGUAUCAAGAUACAUUUGUACUGGGCCUUCAUGGUGAGGAUUCUACAGCAAAUGGCUCUCAACAUCCCCAACCAAACCACCCAACCACUACAAGUCAUCGCCCAUUACUGUAGGGUUCAGUCGUGCUCAGAUUACCAACAAGAAGCGCUCCUUAGGUGCAUCAAGGCUACCUACGUCUUCAAGAAUGCGAACUCAUGAAGAUUGGCGAGUACUAGAUUUGUGUUACACUGUAACUAGGGAAGAUCUGACCUGUCAAUGUUAUAUCAUUACAUUAAUUUACCUCCUCCUCUCCCCCCCUCUAGGUUUGUACAUGUAUGUCAUCCAAACUCUUCUCAACAGAUGUACCCUCCCCAUGUCUAUUUCUAAUGUAUGCUCACUACCCCCAACCUCAACUGGAGAGUACAUUAAUUAAUUAAUUAUGAAAUUAAUUAUGAUUCUAUACAACUACAGGUGUAGGUGGCUGUUGCCAGCAUGAACUCGUGAGCAUCUUCUUGGUUUAUACCUGUUUGGAGCGUAGUUCGUUAUAGGGCUGGUCAGGCAUCUCAAUAAAAGUAAGUAGCUUUUUUUUAUUAACAAUUAUCACUUUUCAGCUGAGAGUUUCCAGAGGAAGAAACGUGGGAUACAUGCAGAUAUAUGAUAACUCCCUGAACAUAAUUUGUUUUACAUCAAAUGUGAAUUAAUAGUAUGAUGCAAAGCAUGUGUUUCAAAUGUGUUUCAAAUGUUUAUGCAUUAUGCAUGCCUCCCAUAAUAUAAUUAUUAACUCAGCCAUGAUGUAUUUAAUAAUAAAUUUGCUAAUCCUGUACGCUGUACGCUGCGCUGCCCUCCUGUAUGUUGUAUUAAUGAAUCACGAAGAUCUACAGGAUUCCAACUACAUACCAUGGUUGCACUCGUGGUGGUGCCCCACCACCCCCCUACCGGGGAUAGGUGGGGGAUUAGUUGGGGAUUAGACUUGAAUUUGCUCAGGGAAUGAGAAAUGAGGAAAUGGAAAUGAGAAAUAAGAAAUAGGAAACAUUAUAAAUAGAAAGAUUAUACAAAUAGACAAAACAUUAUAUAUGUGCAUAAAGUACUGUCAGCCAAUUAGUAAUGAAAUCACAACAAUUAAUACAAGUCAUUCAUUGAAGUUCAAGUUCAAGUAAACGCACCGAGAAGUGAAGAAGUCAAGUUCAAGUAGUCGCACCCAGAGCACCCAGAAGUUAGGUUGUCAGAUACAAGUUUCACCAUCACUUCAUGUGGUAAACAGUAGUGUCAGCUUUUUUUGUGAGUGUGAAUUACUUUCUUUCCCUAGAAACUGAACCCUGUAGCAAGAUUAGAAACAAGCCUUCUUUCCGCUCUUGCUACUACCAAAUCAAGAGUGUCAUUACUUCAUUACUUCCAUUACUUCCAUCGUAGCCCUUUCGACACGACGACUGGCAGAUUAGAAUUUGAUUGGUUUUAAACUUAAGAACAAACGGUUCUCUGCUUGGGAUAGUGCUCUGCUUGGGAUAGUGGGAUCGUGCACAUGAGUACUACAUGAUAAAGUCACACCAGCUGACAAAGUAUUUGGUGGUAGAGCAGGAGGUAGUAGACAGCAAAGUUGCAGAGGUGCUGUGAGGCAGCUCAUUGCAGUGAUGUUGCAGGUGCUCUGAAAUUGUAUUCGAGUGAGAUACUGGAGUCCUUAAAGUACUGGCAGUUGGCAGUGAUGUUGCAUUCGAGUGAGAUACUGUAGUCUUUAAAGUUGGCAGUGAUGUUGCACGAGCACCUGGAAUCGUAUUCGAGUGAGUCCUUGAAGUACUGGCAGUUGGCAGUGAUGUUGCACGAGCACCUGGAAUUGUAUUUGAGUGAGAUACGGCAGUUGGCAGUGAUGUUGCACGAGCACCUGGAAUUGUAUUCGAGUGAGAUACUGGCAGAAUGUUCGUUGUAGACCUAUAGCAAAAUGUGAAUUUUAAACUGUACACAGCAGAUAUAAUUGUUACGGAACAGGUGCUGAGGAUUCAGCUUGCGAUGAAAAGCUUGCUUCUAAUGCUCUUUGAAAAUCAGGAUCAUCGUCAGGAAGAUCUUCCUCAGUAAGCUGGAUAUGGUAGCUGGAUAUGGUACUGCUGGAGUGGACAAGCUAACGGGUGUCUCUAUUCACUGGACUGGACCACUGGACUGGACUACUAGACUCACCUUUGACCCCAAUUUUAGAUAUAUUUUUGCAAUUUUAAGUGAUUUCAAUGUGCAAUUUUCAUUUAUAUGAAGUGAUCUACAAAUUAAUGUCAGAUAUUAAACACCAAAAUUUGUCAGCAAAUGCUCUCUGUGUACUUCUGUUAGUUAACUUGCAAUGUCAGAUAGAAUUAUUAAGAAGGAUUGAAGGAUCCCCAUCUAAGCCAGACACAUUGGGGAUUGCAGUGGUAGUAAACAUUAGAGAAUUUUUUUUGUGAGGUUCGACUUCCUGUUGGUAUAAACUCCCCCCAUUCUUGGUGCUCUAUACAGAUAUCAUUAGGUGGCUUCAGAUUCUUUUCGUACUGAUUUUUACACCCAAAGCAUACUUUAAUGUUUCCCUUGAUAAAGGUAACAGUCCAUGGAGCUCCACUUGAAUGAGGUGGACCAUAUGGAGUGCUCGUACACCUUGGAUUAGGCAAAAAAUAUGGAGAUGGUGGACAGUACAGAGCGCUUAAUCCACUUGGACAGUAUGGAUAAGAUGGAGUGCUUGGUCCACUUGGAGUGCUUGAUCCACUUGGACAGUAUGGAUAAGAUGGAGUGCUUGAUCCACUUGGACAGUGUGGAUAAGAUGGCAGUGUGGAUAAGAUGGAGUGCUUGAUCCACUUGGAAUGCUCGGUCCACUUGGACAGUACGGAUAAGAUGGAUACGGUGCUAUGGAAGUAAAGUGGUAUGAAGGACUGCUUUUAUCUUGAAACGUGGCUCCUACUGAAAUACUUUGCGUAUUCGAUUCAAUCGAUUGUGUAACAGUCAUUGGCACACGGGUACAAGUUUUAUCAUCGCAAUUCUGCUUCCUCUUGCGAGGAGGAACACCACCUUUUCUGCCUCUUCCUUUUGGCAUGUUUGUGGUGACAAGGUAGGUAACAUUGGGUGCCUUCUUCUUCUUCAAAUACGAAAUAAAUUGCUUGAUUGUUUAGAUAAAUC